UACAGAGGGUGCGAGCGUUAAUCGGAAUUACUGGGCGUAAAGCGUGCGUAGACGGUUAUUUAAGUCGGGUGUGAAAGCCCCGGGCUCAACCUGGGAAUUGCAUUCGAGACUGAAUAGCUAGGGUACGGUAGAGGGAAGUGGAAUUUCCGGUGUAGCGGUGAAAUGCGUAGAUAUCUGGAGGAAUACCGGUGGCGAAGGCGGCAUCCUGGACCGGCAUUGACGCUGAGGAGCGAAAGCCAGGGGAGCAAACGGG
rnacentral:rRNA from 1 species